rnacentral:rRNA from 1 species
UACGUAGGUGGCAAGCGUUGUCCGGAUUUAUUGGGCGUAAAGAGCUCGUAGGCGGUCUGUCGCGUCUGCUGUGAAAACUCAGGGCUUAACCCUGAGCUUGCAGUGGGUACGGGCAGACUAGAGUGCGGUAGGGGAGACUGGAAUUCCUGGUGUAGCGGUGAAAUGCGCAGAUAUCAGGAGGAACACCGGUGGCGAAGGCGGGUCUCUGGGCCGUAACUGACGCUGGAGGAGCGAAA